GGUUGCGAUCAUACCAGCACUAAUGCACCGGAUCCCAUCAGAACUCCGCAGUUAAGCGUGCUUUGGCGAGAGUAGUACUAGGAUGGGUGACCCCCUGGGAAGUCCUCGUGUUGCAACCCCC
rnacentral:rRNA from 1 species